ACAGUUCUCUCAAACAGUUCAACUUGGCACCCGUUGGCAUGAUGUCUGACUGCCUUGAACACCUUUCUUAAACGUUACUGUAUGUUUCUCAGUGACCCAUUCUGUGCAAAUCUGCAAAGUCGGGCAUUUCAAACUACAGCGGCAAAUUCACAGCAGCUUGUCUCUUAUUUAAAGUAGUCUACAGGAAUUACUUCGAAGAUCAGUGACUGUCAUGGAAAUCAACCACGGAGGUACCAUGCUUGAAUGUCUGUGGAGGCAACUAGUAAGAGUCUGGAGAGUCCUGUCCUUCCAUGUGACUGAUGACUCUGAAAUCAAACUUUCAGAAGAAGAAACUGAACCACUGUCCAUCAUCACCAGCGUCCCUAGCUCUGUCCAUCCAUGGUUUGAGAAAUAUGGAGAAGAUGAUGGAGUUUAGUGUGGAGGGCUGAAUACAUUGCUUCUUGUGUUAUUAUGGUCAUUGGUCAUGCACUAUGUAUUAGGAGCACAUGCCUUCACUGUGGAACCACUCGCGAUGACUCUGAAGGACAAGAUUUCCCAAAAGGGCCAGACUGUAAAAACUGCAGUGGGCAUUACCUCCAGUUCAUUUGUUACACUGUAAAUGGAAAACUGAGUCAAGCACAUGGUACUGUUAUUCUCCUAAACUGUAAAUUCAUGAGUAAUCAAACUUGAUGAGUAUUCAUUUUUAUUGCCUGGAAAUGAGUGUCUAAAUGUUUUUUAUCUAAAAAUGCAGGAUGUCAUUUUUAACCCAACUGGAUUGGUUUAGGAAACAAAUACAACAUUGAGUCACACAAAAAUCUGGCCAGUGAUAAUGUAUUUUUGCAGGGCCAUCCAAAAAUGUGCAUAACCCUGGUUCCCUUCAAACACAAUUUCAAUUGGCAUUCAAUUCAAUUCUGAUUAUUGCAGAAAAUAUGCUUUGUGGCCAACAACAGUUCAUGUUUCUUACACGUUUUGUAAGAAUAAUCUUUACGAUGAAGUCUGCUUCGGAAGCUAAAUACAACUGUCAGAGGUAAAAAGCCAAACUUAGACUAUAAAUGAAUUAAACAAUGGUCACA